rnacentral:rRNA from 1 species
GGCUGCGAUCAUACCAGCACUAAUGCACCGGAUCCCAUCAGAACUCCGCAGUUAAGCGUGCUUGGGCCAGAGUAGUACUAGGAUGGGUGACCCCCUGGGAAGUCCUCGUGUUGCAACCC